rnacentral:rRNA from 1 species
UACGUAGGUGGCAAGCGUUGUCCGGAUUUACUGGGCGUAAAGCGCGCGCAGGCGGAUCGGUCAGUCUAGGGUGAAAUCUCACGGCUUAACUGUGAGAGGUCCCUGGAUACUGCCGGUCUUGAGGGGCUCAGAGGAGAGUGGAAUUCCGGGUGUAGUGGUGGAAUGCGUAGAUAUCCGGAGGAACACCAGUGGCGAAAGCGACUCUCUGGGGGCAACCUGACGCUGAGGCGCGAAAGCGUGGGGAGCGAACCGG